UACGUAGGGGUCUAGCGUUGUCCGGAAUCACUGGGCGUAAAGCGCACGUAGGCGGCCCUGCAAGUCGGAUGUGAAAUCCCUCGGCUCAACCGAGGACGUGCAUUCGAAACUGCUUGGCUCGAGUAUGGAAGAGGGUCGCGGAAUUCCCGGUGUAGAGGUGAAAUUCGUAGAUAUCGGGAGGAACACCAGUGGCGAAGGCGGCGACCUGGGCCAAUACUGACGCUGAGGUGCGAAAGCGUGGGGAGCAAACAGG
rnacentral:rRNA from 1 species